UACGGAGGGUGCAAGCGUUAUCCGGAUUCACUGGGUUUAAAGGGUGCGUAGGCGGGUAGGUAAGUCAGUGGUGGAAUCUUCGAGCUUAACUCGGAAACUGCCUUUGAUACUAUCUAUCUUGAAUAUUGUGGAGGUAAGCGGAAUAUGUCAUGUAGCGGUGAAAUGCUUAGAUAUGACAUAGAACACCUAUUGCGAAGGCAGCUUACUACGCAUAUAUUGACGCUGAGGCACGAAAGCGUGGGGAUCAAACAGG
rnacentral:rRNA from 1 species